AUUGAACGCUGGCGGCAGGCCUAACACAUGCAAGUCGAACGAGUGGCGGACGGGUGAGUAAUGUCUGGGAACCUGCCCGUUGGAGGGGGAUAACUACUGCAAACGGUAGCUACUCACGCAUCCCAUCGGAUGUGCCAGAUGGGAUUAGCUUGUAGGUGAGGUAACGGCCCACCUAGGCGACGAUCCCUAGCUGGUCUGAGAGGAUGACCAGCCACACUGGAACUGAGACACGGUCCAGACUCCUACGGGAGGCAGCAGUGGGGAAUAUUGCACAAUGGGCGCAAGCCUGAUGCAGCCAUGCAGCGUGUGUGAAGAAGGCCUUCGGGUUGUAAAGUACUUUCAGCGGGGAGGCGUUACCCGCAGAAGAAGCACCGGCUAACUCCGUGCCAGCAGCCGCGGUAAUAC
rnacentral:rRNA from 1 species